UACGUAGGUGGCAAGCGUUGUCCGGAUUUAUUGGGUUUAAAGGGUGCGUAGGUGGUCUUGUAAGUCAGUGCUGAAAUAUCCCGGCUUAACCGGGAGGGUGGCAUUGAUACUGCAGGACUUGAGUAAAGUUGAGGUAGGCGGAAUUGACGGUGUAGCGGUGAAAUGCUUAGAUAUCGUCAAGAACACCUAUUGCGAAGGCAGCUUACUAAGCUUUAACUGACACUGAGGCACGAAAGUGUGGGGAUCAAACAGG
rnacentral:rRNA from 1 species